rnacentral:rRNA from 1 species
AUUGAACGCUGGCGGCAUGCUUUACACAUGCAAGUCGAACGGCAGCGCGGGCUUCGGCCUGGCGGCGAGUGGCGAACGGGUGAGUAAUACAUCGGAACGUGCCCAGUAGUGGGGGAUAGCUCGGCGAAAGCCGGAUUAAUACCGCAUACGACCUGAGGGUGAAGGCGGGGGAUCUUCGGACCUCGCGCUAUUGGAGCGGCCGAUGGCAGAUUAGCUAGUUGGUGGGGUAAAGGCCUACCAAGGCGACUAUCUGUAGCUGGUCUGAGAGGACGACCAGCCACACUGGGAGUGAGACACGGCCCAGACUCCUACGGGAGGCAGCAGUGGGGAAUUUUGGACAAUGGGCGAAAGCCUGAUCCAGCAAUGCCGCGUGUGUGAUGAAGGCCUUCGGGUUGGAAAGCACUUUUGGCGGGAACGAAAAGGACUGUGCCAAUACCACGGUUCGAUGACGGUACCCGCAGAAUAAGCACCGGCUAACUACGUG